rnacentral:rRNA from 1 species
UACGUAGGGUGCAAGCGUUGUCCGGAAUUAUUGGGCGUAAAGAGCUCGUAGGCGGUCUGUCGCGUCUGCUGUGAAAACUCGGGGCUUAACCCUGAGCUUGCAGUGGGUACGGGCAGACUAGAGUGCGGUAGGGGAGACUGGAAUUCCUGGUGUAGCGGUGAAAUGCGCAGAUAUCAGGAGGAACACCGGUGGCGAAGGCGGGUCUCUGGGCCGAUACUGACACUGAGAAGCGAAAGCGUGGGGAGCGAACAGG